AGGGUUGUGGCUCAGUGGUAGAGCACUUGCCUCAAACGUGAGAGACCCUGGGUUCCAUCCUCAGCACCACAU
rfam:Ictidomys tridecemlineatus contig053993, whole genome shotgun sequence.